rnacentral:rRNA from 1 species
GGCAGCAGUGGGGAAUUUUGGACAAUGGGGGCAACCCUGAUCCAGCCAUGCCGCGUGAGUGAAGAAGGCCUUCGGGUUGUAAAGCUCUUUCAGCCGGGAAGAAAUGGCAUGGGUUAAUAUCCUGUGUGGAUGACGGUACCGGAAUAAGAAGCACCGGCUAACUACGUGCCAGCAGCCGCGGUAAUACGUAGGGUGCGAGCGUUAAUCGGAAUUACUGGGCGUAAAGCGUGCGCAGGCGGUUUGUUAAGAUAGGCGUGAAAUCCCCGGGCUCAACCUGGGAACUGCGUUUAUGACUGGCAGGCUAGAGUAUGGCAGAGGGGGGUGGAAUUCCACGUGUAGCAGUGAAAUGCGUAGAGAUGUGGAGGAACACCGAUGGCGAAGGCAGCCCCCUGGGCCAAUACUGACGCUCAUGCACGAAAGCGUGGGUAGCAAACAGGAUUAGAUACCCUGGUAGUCCACGCCCUAAACGAUGUCAACUAGGUGUUGGGUGGGUAAAACCAUUUAGUACCGGAGCUAACGC